CUUGAUGUGUGAGAUGAUUCUGUUGGACAGAUCUUCAUCACUGACUCUCCUCCUGAAGUACUCCUCCUUCUGGGCGUCAGUGAAGCCUCGUACUUCUGUUACCCUGUCAACACAUUCAGGAGGGAUCUGAUUGGCUGCUGCAGGUCUGGAAGUUAUCCAGACGAGAGCCGAGGGAAGCAGAUUCCCCUUGAUGAGGUUUGUCAACAGCACGUUGACUGAAGACUUCUGUGUGACGUCAGACACAACCUCAUUGUUGUGGAAAUCCAGUGAAAGUCUGCUUUCAUCCAGGCCGUCAAAGAUGAAUAAAAGUUUACAGACAGCGAGCUGCUCUGCUGUGACCUUCUGUAAUGUUGGAUGGAAAACAUGGAGCAGCCUGAGAAGACUGUACUGCUCAUCUUUGAUCAGGUUCAGCUCCCUGAACGAAAGCAGAACCACCAGACUGACAUCUUGGUUUUCCAAGCCCUCUGCCCAGUCCAGAGUGAACUUCUGCACUGAGAAGGUUUUUCCAACGCCAGCGACGCCGUUCGUCAGAACCACUCUGAUGUGUCUCUGUUGGUCAGGUAA